rnacentral:rRNA from 1 species
GUGGGGAAUAUUGGACAAUGGGCGCAAGCCUGAUCCAGCCAUACCGCGUGGGUGAAGAAGGCCUUCGGGUUGUAAAGCCCUUUUGUUGGGAAAGAAAUCCUGUCGGUUAAUACCUGGCGGGGAUGACGGUACCCAAAGAAUAAGCACCGGCUAACUUCGUGCCAGCAGCCGCGGUAAUACGAAGGGUGCAAGCGUUACUCGGAAUUACUGGGCGUAAAGCGUGCGUAGGUGGUGGUUUACGUCCGUUGUGAAAGCCCUGGGCUCAACCUGGGAAUUGCAGUGGAUACUGGAUCACUAGAGUGUGGUAGAGGGAUGCGGAAUUUCUGGUGUAGCAGUGAAAUGCGUAGAGAUCAGAAGGAACAUCCGUGGCGAAGGCGGCAUCCUGGGCCAACACUGACACUGAGGCACGAAAGCGUGGGGAGCAAACAGGAUUAGAAACCCUUGUAGUCC